CAUCCAAACCAACAAUCAGACUAAUAUACUAUACAUCCAUCCAACAAGCCCAUAAAAAUUAGUAUACAAAAGCAAAAUCCCAAAAAUUUUUGUUAACUAAGUCACAAACGAGUAAUUCACUGAAUCAAUAGACUUGGUUUUCAGAGAAUGUACAGCAGCUGGCUUGAAGAAGUUAGUUAAAUUGAAGGCGAGUCCGUUGCUACUACUGCCUUCUACUUGCUUGUUACACCUGAACACUUGAUUAGUUUUCCUGCUACAUAUCCCAGCAACCCUGUAAGUUCCUUUGUAAGUCAGCCUGCAAAAUUGUAGAGAGAAUAGCAUCAAUUUCAUUGAAUUGCCAAGACACAUUCUCCUGCAAAGCAUAUUUAGCAAUAUAAUCAGCAGUUUGAUUUGCUAUCCGUGCGAUAUGUGAGCACUUGAAUGCAUUGCAUCUUAUCUUCUAAAGCUUGAUAUCCUCCAGUAAGGGAUGUUCCAUUAACUGGCUCUGAAUCACCC
rnacentral:lncRNA from 1 species